UUCUCCUGCGACCGAGACACGGGGGAAGAAGCCCACCCGAGGCACGACACGUCCCUGGGUGACACUUAUCGCUGCUCACCCCACCCGCUGGGCCCCCCGAGGCCAGAUGAGACCCCGCGCCGUGUCCUAGCCCCCAGCCCACGCACCCAGACCCCCCUGGCCCGACACCGUCCUUUCCUCUCCUGUUGAGCCACAAUUCAGUGGCUUGAAUUCUUCGGUACGAAGAGGUACAAACGGUACCACGCUGCCAGCGGCUGUGGCAGAGGCCGUCCACGCAGAGACCGGCUGCAAGGGCCAGGAUCCGGGGAUCCCCAUGGGUCAGCAGGGGAAGCACAGGGAACGUUUCAGUGCGCGGCAAAAGGGCAGAUGGCAAAGCCUCUAUUUUAUUUGGACGUGGUUAGCGUUAGUAAAUACCGUACCAAGCCUCAAGGACCUGGCAAGCUCCCAGCGGCAGCCUCCAGCCCCGAGGUGGAGCUGCUGCCCGGCGCCGCGCGCUCUGCACCGCGGGGAGCAGGAGCACGCAGCGGGACAAGGGGUGACACCACAAGGAGCAUGUAGCGGGACACGGGGGUGACACCGCACGGAGCAGGAGCACGCAGCGGGAUAUGGGGCGACACCAUGGGGAGCGGGCAAGCCAGCCCGGGCUCGGCUUUCUGCUCAGCUCUCAUGAGCAAACCGCUGCCGGUGGCCAUCCCAUUGUGCCCAGGGGAGCAGCGUUGGGGUGCAGCGCAGGCGCCUGAGCUGACAUCCAGCCCCACCGCAGGCUGUCUUGGGGUGAGCACACUCAUUGGGGCCGCAGGUUCCCGGCUGACAGCACGUUUCAGGCUCUCCCAAGGCACCGAGCAGCUCCAGUGCCAUCAGGGCGGUGCUGGCCUUGUCCAGCCGUGGCUAUAAAAGGCCGCGGGCUCCUGCAGCAGGAGCUCAGCAGAAGAGCAGAGCGUGACAAGGGACCAGAGCUUGGCUCGGAGGCAGCUGGACGAGGCUGGAUGGAACUGCAGACCGCGGGGUCACGCCAGCGGCGGGGUCGGAGGGGAAUGAAGCCAGGGAUCGCUUCGUUCCCACGUGCCCUCGGUCCCCGCAGGGUGAGAGGGCAGCUGAAGCUCCCCAGCCCACGCGGGCUCGCUGCGAUGCUGACAGCAGCGCACUGACCGCUGUCCCCAUGGGGCGACGGAGCUCCGCGCAGCGGUGCUCGGGGGCAGCCCCCAAAAACACAGCCUAGACCCCAGGAGCAGCAUUCCAGGAGGCCCCAAGCGCCUUCCCUUCGUGGAACAAUUACCAGCAGCUCCUCUGCAGCCCAUGCCAUGGAAAAAGCACUGACACCGCUGUGCCUGCCGGGGGUACCGGCCCCUUCCUGCACCCACUGGCCCCCACGGCCCCUGCUCCCUGCCAGGCUCCAGCCUCAUCCCGCGGGGACAGCUGCAGCACGAGGCUUGUACCACCGCCGAGCAGCACUUGUUCCUACACCACACCAUUUCCGCAGCAGCUCAGCGUCUAAAACCACAAAGGCAUUUCUCUCGGUUCCGCGGCAGCUUUUGUUCCCUUGACGCUCUCCGCAGGUCGGAGGGCGCCCCGCACAUCUCUGCCCGUUUCUCUUGAAUGCCAGCAGCAGCAGCAGCAGCGCCAGGCAGAGCCUUGCUCUAACAACAUCUUCCCAAGCUUGAGUCAUAAAACGCUCCGAAACACCCCCGCAGCCCGCGGCUGCUCGAGCCGUGCGGCGCUGCGUGGGUGCCUGCGCUCGCGAGGGUUGGCGUGCACGUGUGAGACGCAUUCUCGCGCGUGAGGCCACAACACCCCAGGGCCACUGCUCCUACCUCGCCGUGGGACGCUCUCCCCUGAGGGACUGCUCCCUCCUGGUCCGGCCCAGGCACCUCAGCAUCUCCGCGAGCGCCGGGAAGCAUGACCGCGUCCUUCGCCCGUGCGUGGCAGCGGCGGCGCAGAAGCUUCCUCGUGCAGGGAGAGGAAGAAGGCGGCGAGGAGCGCACCGCAGGCACUGAUCAGAGCGAGACGGAGGUUUGGCAAGGGAAGAUGCAAUAUCUGAGAGGCCCCCGGGAGGGCCGAUAGAGGAGAAGCGAGAGGCACUGAGGGAGGAGCGUGGCCGGAGCCUACCCAGGCGGCGGCGGGACAGUAGCUCCCAGGAUUUCUGCAGCCACAUGGAGAAAUCUGGUGCUCUUCAACCGUCAGACAGGGUCUGGCACCUUCUCCAUGUCCCAGGGCUGCUGCCACACUGAGAUCUCGGGGUAUGGAGGAAGAGGCACUUGCCCAAGCUCCAAUCCAUCCCAGGAGCUGCUCCAACCACGGCACCAGCAAGCACCAGCACGCAAAGCCCAGCACGGACAAGGAAAGCAGGGAGAGCGCAGCAGGACCAGGGAGGUUCUUGCCCCAAGUUGCUCCCCAGCAAAGCUCCUUUCCCCUGGGGGCUCCAGCAAGAGCAGGAGCCCAGCUCUGGCUUCUUAUCCAGGGCUGCACAACCCUCAUCCCCUCCCUUUGCCCUCUCCUUAACGGGUGCAAGACGUUGGCACUGCCCUAGCCCAGGACAAUGCCGCAGAGCAGGAGGCGUGGGAUGCAUUUUCCUUUCGCUACCAAGUGAGAUCAGUAAUUAUCAGCCUCUUUCAGCCUGAGCUCCUGAGAGAUCUCCCACGGCAAUGCAGACCCCACACAGCAUAAUUUGAGCCCAGCGAGGAGAAAUUUGCUUUUCUUCGGCACCUUUCACAGACCCUUCGCAGCCCGCGGAGCCCAGCAGUCUCGGUGUCACAGCCAAAAAUUACUCCUGCAUUAGGAGCGGCAGGAGCCCGGGGGCUGCGUGGGAGCGCUCGCAGCGCACAGCCUGGCAGGAGAAGGCAGAAAUCAGCUCGAGGAGGCGGGCAGCAGCGGGCGGGCAGGACGGGGGGGGUCCCACCGCAUGCCACCCCCUAGCCUUGCGCUCGGCCACCCGCUCUCAGCAGUCAGCUCUUUACAAAUGCUCCUCCGGAGUGGUCGCAGGAUCCUCUCCCUGCUCCUGCCCAGGGCACCAAGAGCCCUUCCCAAGGUGAAUGCAAGCGCCCCUUCUGCAAGGCUCAUCAACACGCUGUUAAAAAAAAUAAAUUAAUUAAAAGCAUCAUCUCCAGCUCAGCCUUGCCUUGUCCAGCGGGGGUUUCUAAAAAAAAAAAAAUAAAAAUGAAUUUUGCAGGCUGAGUCAGAACUUGGUUAAUAAGCCGCAGCACAACUGAGUCAGCGGCAUCUCUUUUCACUGCUAUUUUACUGACAUCUCAGAUAACAAAUAUCACUGGCGCUGGACCACAGCCAGUACAGUGGGAGCCAAAUCGCUGUCUCCCACCAGCAUAUCUGAGCACACAUCUCCAUAAGAAAGCAAAAUACAUCUCUACCCACCCAAGAGGAAAGGGGAAACUCAGAAGGAAACAUAAAAGCCUGGAUUUUAUUAUUUUUUUUUUUUCUAGGCCAUUUUGUACCCGCUCAGUAUGCAAACCUACAUUUGGACAGAGACAAGGAACCUUUUGCAAUUGUACUCAGCACUUAAUCUUCUGGCUCUUUGGCACUCAUUUACUCCCCAGGUGCAAAUAGCUGCAUUUUCUGCAUACGCACCAGAAAGCCAGCAGCUGACCAAGCCGCCUCCCGGAGUAGCUGUGUCUGUUGCUCCCUGGCUGUUUCAGAGCACAAUUCUCUUCGGCACAGGAAAGCUUUAUUUUUGCUCUGCUCAGAUCCUCCCAAAGCCCUUUUUCCUGUUGCUCGGUGCCUUGUGCAAGACGGCGUUACCCAUCUCGUCUAGACAGCACGUCCUGAUCGCUGGUGCAGCACGGGGAGCUCUCAUCCUGCCUCUGCGUUAAGAGCGCGGCUCAGCUUUGUGCCAGAGAGACAGAUUUCAGAGCACAGCACCCACCUCCCCGGCUGUUAACGGGCUGCUGCGGGCAGUAAGCGCUCCGACAACGCCGUGCACCAAAGCCCAAAACCUGACCCAGCGAGCUCACCGCGCACACCAAGGGUCCUGGAGCAAAAGGACGAUGCCUUUUCCAUCUCUACACCGAUCUUUUGCUUAGGAAUAGGCUUUGAGGGAGUAGGGAGAGAAGUCAGCAGUGCUGCAGCUGCACCCUUUUUGCGUUGCACAAAAACUCUGAGCCUUGUGCCGAGAGAAGCCAGAGCUCUGCGGCUGAAGGAACGGGGUCGUGCUGGAAGUUACUCGCUGCAAGGGAAAGGUCCCUUCCCCAGAACCAUGAUCCCCACUGCAGAAGCAUGAGAUCUUAUCUCUGACAGCAUCCCAGAGCCCAGGAAUGCAUGAUUCAGACAACCCCAAGCCAAGCUAUGCUGGUUAAACAGCUUUUCACAGGGUGCUAUGACCUGGAGAGGGGCUGCUCAGGAAAGGCAGCCCCAUUGAGAAAAAAAAAAAAAAAAAAAAAGGCUGAAGCCAGUUCCAUCUGGAACCUAUUCAGGAGCUUCCUGCACUGUGAGGCAGGCUCAGCGCAGACAAGACAGAACGGCGAGUAAGGUAACUAUUUAGGAACGCGGUAAAUAAGUCAGGAAAAAAAGGAUAAAUCAGUAAAUUGAGAGGUGCUUGACACAGGAGCUGUUCAGCUGCCAAAGACGUGGGCCUACUGCAUGAUUAGCAAUACUCCACUCUCUGUAUAAGUGUGUAAUUUGGAAACGUGGCAUUCGUUUGGAAAAUCUUCCGCCGGGAGGUACUGAGGACGGGUCUCCCUUCCCAGCUCUGCUCAGCUCCACGGGCUCCUGCUGCCAACCCGACCACCCCAAGGCAGCUCCCUUGCUUUGGGCAGCUCGUGUUUGAUUCCUCCUGCAGCUGGCACGGCGGCAGGAGCCCCGCAGGCACAGAAGCCCCCAGCUGGGCACAGAAGCCCCCAGCCAUGCACCCCACAAGACGCUCCCGGAGCCGUUUUGCCCUGCAGAGCAGCACACACCUGAGUUACCGGAGCAAGAACAGGAGCUGCAGCCGAACCCUCAGCUAAAGCCAACUAACCUCAGGCUUUUCUCCUUCCUGAAGUAAACUGAAUCUGCCCCAAAAAAACCCCAAAGCCAGCAGGACGGCCUCGCCUCAUUAACAAGAGCACCCUGCUCCGCACCAUUCGGCAAGCGCGUGCAACGGCUCGCCCCCACCGAGAGCACACGCACGCGUUCAUUGCUGCUGUGCCUGCAGGACGGGUAACGAAGUGUGAGGCUCCGGGAAGCCUGGAUCGA